rnacentral:rRNA from 1 species
GACGAACGCUGGCGGCGUGCUUAACACAUGCAAGUCGAACGGUGAACUCCGCUUGCGGGGGGAUCAGUGGCGAACGGGUGAGUAACACGUGGGCAACCUGCCCUCAGCUCUGGGAUAACUCCAAGAAAUUGGGGCUAAUACCGGAUAUGACCGCUGACCGCAUGGUCUGGUGGUGGAAAGAUUUAUCGGCUGGGGAUGGGCCCGCGGCCUAUCAGCUUGUUGGUGGGGUAGUGGCCUACCAAGGCGACGACGGGUAGCCGGCCUGAGAGGGUGACCGGCCACACUGGGACUGAGACACGGCCCAGACUCCUACGGGAGGCAGCAGUGGGGAAUAUUGCGCAAUGGGCGAAAGCCUGACGCAGCGACGCCGCGUGGGGGAUGACGGCCUUCGGGUUGUAAACCUCUUUCAGCGGGGACGAAGCGAAAGUGACGGUACCUGCAGAAGAAGCACCGGCCAACUACGUG